rnacentral:rRNA from 1 species
AUUGAACGCUGGCGGCAUGCCUUACACAUGCAAGUCGAACGGUAACAGGUCUUCGGAUGCUGACGAGCGGCGAACGGGUGAGUAAUACAUCGGAACGUGCCCGAGAGUGGGGGAUAACGAGGCGAAAGCUUUGCUAAUACCGCAUACGAUCCCAGGAUGAAAGCAGGGGACCGCAAGGCCUUGCGCUCACGGAGCGGCCGAUGGCAGAUUAGGUAGUUGGUGGGAUAAAAGCUUACCAAGCCGACGAUCUGUAGCUGGUCUGAGAGGACGACCAGCCACACUGGGACUGAGACACGGCCCAGACUCCUACGGGAGGCAGCAGUGGGGAAUUUUGGACAAUGGGCGCAAGCCUGAUCCAGCCAUGCCGCGUGCAGGAUGAAGGCCUUCGGGUUGUAAACUGCUUUUGUACGGAACGAAAAGACUCUGGUUAAUACCUGGGGUCCAUGACGGUACCGUAAGAAUAAGCACCGGCUAACUACGUGCCAGCCGCCGCCGUAAAAC